AAACAUACUCGGCAGUCAGACAGCGGGUGAUAAGGUCCGUUGUCAAGAGGGAAACAGCCCAGACCUACAGCUAAGGUCCCAAAAUGUAUGCUAAGUGGAAAAGGAUGUGGAGAUGUACAGACAACUAGGAGGUUGGCUCAGAAGCAGCCAUCCUUUAAAGAGUGCGUAACAGCUCACUAGUCGAAUGACUCUGCGCCGAUAAUUUACCGGGGCUAAGCAUACUACCGAAGCUAUGGAUCCUACGGGAUGGUAGGGGAGCGUUCCAUGAACGGAGAAGUACGACCGGAAGGACGUGUGGAGAUCAUGGAAGAGAGAAUGCCGGUGUGAGUAGCGGAACGUGGGUGAGAAUCCCACGCACCGAAAACCCAAGGAUUCCAGAGGAAGGUUCGUCCGCUCUGGGUAAGUCGGGACCUAAGGCGAGGCCGAAAGGCGUAGUCGAUGGACAACAGGUAGAGAUUCCUGUACUUGUAUAUAUGUGAAGGAAUGACGGAGAGAGAAAGCUGAAGCCAGCGGCUGGAAGAGCUGGUGCAAGCGAGAUAGCGGGAUGGCAGGCAAAUCCGCCAUCCACAACGCGAAGACGUGAUGCGAACGGAAAGCUACGGCGAGUACGGAAGUCAGUGGACGAGCUUCCAAGAAAAGUUUCUAACAUAAGUAUAUGCAACCCGUACCGAAAAUGGACACACAUGGGUGAGGAGAGAAUCCUAAGGUGAGCGAGAGAACUAUAGCUAAGGAACUCUGCAAAAUGACUCCGUAACUUAGGGAGAAGGAGUGCUCAUAGAGAUAUGAGCCGCAGUGAAACGGCCCAAGCGACUGUUUACCAAAAACACAGCUCUCUGCUAAGCCGCAAGGCGAAGUAUAGGGGGUGACGCCUGCCCGGUGCUGGAAGGUUAAGGGGAGGGGUUAACGCAAGUGAAGCCCUGAACUGAAGCCCCAGUAAACGGCGGCCGUAACUAUAACGGUCCUAAGGUAGCGAAAUUCCUUGUCAGGUAAGUUCUGACCCGCACGAAAGGCGUAACGAUUUGGGCGCUGUCUCAGCUGUAGACUCGGUGAAGUCUUAGUACCUGUGAAGAUGCAGGUUACCCGCGACUAGACGGAAAGACCCCAUGGAGCUUCACUGCAGGUUGAUAUUGGGAUUUGAUGCAGCAUGUACAGGAUAGGUAGGAGGCUAGGAGAUGGAUACGCCAGUAUUCAAGGAGCCGCUGUUGGGAUACUACCCCUGUUGUAUUGGAUUUCUAACCGGACGACGUAAGCCGUUGACGGGACAGUGUCAGUCGGGCAGUUUGACUGGGGCGGUCGCCUCCCAAAGAGUAACGGAGGCGCCCAAAGAUACCCUCAGCUUGGAUGGAAACCAAGCGCAGAGUGCAAAGGCAAAAGGGUGUUUGACUGCGAGACCCACAAGUCGAGCAGGGACGAAAGUCGGGCUUAGUGAUCCGGCGGUGCUGAAUGGAAAGGCCGUCGCUCAACGGAUAAAAGCUACCCUGGGGAUAACAGGCUGAUCUCCCCCAA
rnacentral:rRNA from 1 species